CUCGGACGGAUGUCCCAGCCAGCCUUCCAUUAGGCCUACCAAGGCGCUACUGGCACGCUCAGACCUGAGACAAAGCCGAUGCCGCAUUCUACAAAGGUCCUCUUACUUACGGCAUCCAGGAAUGCCGCCGGAAGGGGGAUAAGCUGACCCCCAACACCCAAGCUUCACACACGCAUUCGGCCUCAUUCCUGAGACAUAGCCGACGCCGCAUUCUACAAAGGUCUACUUACUUACGGCAUCCAGAUCGGCCGAGUCACAUGUUCAAGUCUCUUCGUAAGUGCUGCCUUAAUGCAAGAUAAUAUGAAUAAUUUUGAAAGCCAGCAUCUACGUUAAUCUUAUUUUAGCCAGCUCCCCCCUUGUGAGAGAUAAGUUCCCCCGUGCGGACAAGCUGCAUUUACUCUUUCUCCAGGCCAUUCAACGGCCUCGUGUAAAUAAAUGUAAUGUAGAUUAAUCAGCUGGUUUUUCAAUGGCGACCUCCUCUACAGUAAAUUAACACAAUAAAUCCUUUUAGGGACUGUUGAUGACCAACACCAGGUAAUUUGUUACUGGAAUGUUCGAUAUCUCUUUUUAUGAUGACAAAGAUGGCAAAUAUACAAAUAAAUUUCAUAUUAACCACUGCUAUAACACAGCUUAUAGUGAUGUAACUUGUAUCAGACUUAACAUUACCAACAAUAAAUCA